GACGACCCCAGCGGAGGCAGCAGCGUGGAGCCCAGAGUCCGGCUCAGGCACAGGAAAAUCAUAGGCGAGUCACGAUUUCUCCUCGCCAGUGACUUCCAAGGCCAGCCAGUCUCACUCUGAAUCGCAGACCUACCCCGACAGUGGAACAUCGACACCUGAAGGACCACAUAUUUGGUGAGUGGAUGUUGUACGGAAAUGUGAAAGCAUAGCCAAGAUACUGCCCUUUUGUCCCAGGCCAUGGUGGAAAAGACCUGAGCAACACAGAGCCCCCCACGCCUCUUUCUGGCUACAGCAGGUGAAGAAGUCUCAGCAGGGCAGGGUGAGACGCGGAGGCUGCGGAGGACUUUCGGGGACGGGGCUGCUACACAGAGGAGGACAGAGAGGACGCAGGCAGGGGCCCAAGCUCAAGGAUGCAGACGUGGAGGAGAGAACUGGAGGAGGCGAUCUCCACAGUCCCUUCCAACGGUGUGAGAAGAUUCCGAAGACAGACCGAGGUAAGGAAGACAUGGCGCAGACAAUGUCUAAGGAGCAGGCA
rnacentral:lncRNA from 1 species